GCGCCCCGCCGCCGGGAGGAAUGCCGGCGGAGUUUCCCAGGUGUUUGCCGCCUGCGGUGUUGGCGCGGGCUCCAGCCCAGCGCUGUUCCGUCGCGGGUGAAACGCGGUCAGAAUGACCUGGGCGAGGUCAGCGUGUCCGUCCCCGGAGCGUCGGUCUGACUGAAAGCAAGUACUGCGGUCACUAGGGCUCGAGGCAUCCUCACCAUCCUCACUCCCCCCGCCCUCCUAGUCCGGGAGGGGCCCCGGGGCGGGGAGGGGCGCUCAGCCGACGGGUGCUCCGAGUCCCCGCCCUGCUCCUCCCAGCGCAGCCCCGCGCCGCGACACCACCCCUUGGGGAGCACCCAGGGCCCCUGCGGGGGUGGGGGGGUGUGGUCCACAAAGAGCCACCCACCUGCUGUAGCCACAUCCUUCCUGGUGGGACGUACACUUCCCUGGGGCCGCGGUGGGGGGAGGAGGAGGCCGGGAGUGCCCUUCCUUCCUUUAUCACCGCACUCUCCUGCUACUCCAAAUCAGCCAGCACUUAUACAAACGGGCCUCUUAAACAAGUGACCCAAUUCCGGGGCCCGGACAGGGAAAAUAUGAGAUGAGCCUGGCGCAUCGCGUAUCACUAGAAAACUGAAUAUUUGUUUUCCCAAAACCUCAUAUAUUGAAACCUAAUCCCCGGUGUGAUGGUGUUUGGAGGUGAGACCUCUGGGAAGUGCUUAGAUCGUGAGAAGGGAGCCCUCGUGAAUGGGUUCAGUACCCUUGAAAAGGAGCUGAGAAGACAGCUGUCUAUGAACCAAGAAGUGGACUUUCACAGGCAUCAAACCUGCUUAUAACUUGGUUUUGGACUUCCAGCCUCCAGAACUGUGAGAAAUAAAUUGUUUUUUAAGCACCCA